GCAAACUUGGUCAUUUAGAGGAAGUAAAAGUCGUAACAAGGUUUCCGUAGGUGAACCUGCGGAAGGAUCAUUAGAAAGAUCGAACAAAAUAUGGACGAUCAAAAUCCAUAUCCACCUUGUGUGCACUCAUUGACCGUUCGCUUUGGCAGGAAAAAAGGAGCCUUCGAUUUCCGGAGGUACACCGAGGCAUCUCUUCUUCUCUCCUUCCCGGGGGAGAUUUAAAAAAUGGGGGAUGACCUGCCAGAGUUUUUUCUUUCCGAACUUCACGCGUCUCUUCUUUUGGACUGAACCUUCGUCUCGAUUCUAUUUGCAAUCGGUCGAAUCAGAUACAACUUUCAACAACGGAUCUCUUGGCUCUCGCAUCGAUGAAGAACGCAGC
rnacentral:misc_RNA from 1 species